rnacentral:rRNA from 1 species
GAUGAACGCUGGCGGCGUGCCUAAUACAUGCAAGUCGAGCGAACGGACGAGAAGCUUGCUUCUCUGAUGUUAGCGGCGGACGGGUGAGUAACACGUGGAUAACCUACCUAUAAGACUGGGAUAACUUCGGGAAACCGGAGCUAAUACCGGAUAAUAUUUUGAACCGCAUGGUUCAAAAGUGAAAGACGGUCUUGCUGUCACUUAUAGAUGGAUCCGCGCUGCAUUAGCUAGUUGGUAAGGUAACGGCUUACCAAGGCAACGAUGCAUAGCCGACCUGAGAGGGGGAGCGGCCAAAUGGGAACUGGAAAAGGGCCAAAACCCCUAGGGGGGGAAGAAGGAGGGAACUUUCCGCAAGGGGGGAAACCCGGAGGGGGAAAGGCGGGGGGGGGGAGAAGGGGUUUGGGAUGGAAAAACCUGGUUAUAGGGAAAAAAAAAUUGGGAAAGAAAUUGGGAACAUUUGAAGGGAACUAAAUCAAAAACCACCGCUAAACUAGUG